rnacentral:rRNA from 1 species
GUUUGAUCAUGGCUCAGAACGAACGCUGGCGGCAUGCCUAACACAUGCAAGUCGAACGGGAUCCGGACUUCGGUUCGGUGAGAGUGGCGGACGGGUGAGUAACGCGUGGGAACCUGCCCAAUGGUCUGGGAUAACCGCGGGAAACUGCGGCUAAUACCGGAUAAGCCCCCUGGCAACGGGGGGAAAGAUUUGUCGCCGAUGGAGGGGCCCGCGUCAGAUUAGGUAGUUGGUGGGGUAAUGGCCUACCAAGCCUACGAUCUGUAGCUGGUCUGAGAGGAUGAUCAGCCACACUGGGACUGAGAUACGGCCCAGACUCCUACGGGAGGCAGCAGUGGGGAAUAUUGGACAAUGGGGGCAACCCUGAUCCAGCAAUGCCGCGUGAGUGAUGAAGGCCUUAGGGUUGUAAAGCUCUUUUGGCGGGGACGAUGAUGACGGUACCCGCAGAAUAAGCCCCGGCUAACUUCGUGCCAGCAGCCGCGGUAAUACGAAGGGGG